UGCCAGACUCCUACGGGAGGCAGCAGUGGGGAAUAUUGGGCAAUGGGCGCAAGCCUGACCCAGCAACGCCGCGUGAAGGAAGAAGGCUUUCGGGUUGUAAACUUCUUUUGUCAGGGACGAAGCAAGUGACGGUACCUGACGAAUAAGCCACGGCUAACUACGUGCCAGCAGCCGCGGUAAUACGGAGGAUGCGAGCGUUAUCCGGAUUCAUUGGGUUUAAAGGGUGCGCAGGCGGGCCUUUAAGCCGGCGGGGAAAUCGGGGGCCCCACCCCCGCCGGGCCGUCGGAACUGGGGGCCUUGAGUGCGGCGGAGGCAUGCGGAAUGCGCGGUGUAGCGGUGAAAUGCAUAGAUAUCGCGCAGAACCCCGAUUGCGAAGGCAGCGUGCCGUGCCGCCACUGACGCUGAGGCACGAAAGCGCGGGGAUCGAACAGGAUUAGAUACCCCAGUAU
rnacentral:rRNA from 1 species